UACGUAGGGGGCAAGCGUUGUCCGGAAUCAUUGGGCGUAAAGAGCGUGUAGGCGGCCAGAAAAGUCCGCUGUGAAAACUCGAGGCUCAACUUCGAGCUGUCGGUGGAAACUUUCUGGCUAGAGUCCGGAAGAGGAGAAUGGAAUUCCUGGUGUAGCGGUGAAAUGCGCAGAUAUCAGGAAGAACACCGAUGGCGAAGGCAGGUCUCUGGGCCGAUACUGACGCUGAGGAGCGAAAGCGUGGGGAGCGAACAGG
rnacentral:rRNA from 1 species